AAUAGAUACCCCGGUAGUCCACGCCGUAAACGAUGAAUGCUAGGUGUUAGGGGUUUCGAUACCCUUGGCGCCGAAGUUAACACAUUAAGCAUUCCGCCUGGGGAGUACGGUCGCAAGACUGAAACUCAAAGGAAUUGACGGGGACCCGCACAAGCAGUGGAGUAUGUGGUUUAAUUCGAAGCAACGCGAAGAACCUUACCAGGUCUUGACAUCCCUCUGACCGUCCUAGAGAUAGGGCUUUCCUUCGGGACAGAGGAGACAGGUGGUGCAUGGUUGUCGUCAGCUCGUGUCGUGAGAUGUUGGGUUAAGUCCCGCAACGAGCGCAACCCUUGAUCUUAGUUGCCAGCAUUUCGGAUGGGCACUCUAGGAUGACUGCCGGUGACAAACCGGAGGAAGGUGGGGAUGACGUCAAAUCAUCAUGCCCCUUAUGACCUGGGCUACACACGUACUACAAUGGCCGAUACAACGGGAAGCGAAACCGCGAGGUGGAGCCAAUCCUAUCAAAGUCGGUCUCAGUUCGGAUUGCAGG
rnacentral:rRNA from 1 species